rnacentral:rRNA from 1 species
UACGGGGCGCAGCAGUCGCCGAACUUUGCAAUACACGCAAGUGUGACAGGGUCAUCCCGAGUGCCGACCGCUGAGGUUGGCUUUUACCCAGUCUAGAAAGCUGGGGGAAUAAGGAGAGGGCAAGUCUGGUGUCAGCCGCCGCGGUAAUACCAGCUCUCCGAGUGGUGUGGACGUUUAUUGGGCCUAAAGCAUCCGUAGCUGGCUGAACAAGUCCCCCUGUUAAACCCACCGAUUUAAUCGUUGGCUUGCGGGGGAAACUGCUCGGCUAGGGGACGAGAGAGGCAGACGGUAUUCCCGGGGUAGGGGUGAAAUCCUAUAAUCCCGGGAAGACCACCAGUGGCGAAGGCUGUCUGCUAGAACGCGCCCGACGGUGAGGGAUGAAAGCUGGGGGAGCGAACCGGAUUAGAUACCCGGGUAGUCCCAGCUGUAAACGAUGCAGGCUAGGUGUUUGGACGCCACGUGCGGUCUAGUGCCGCAGGAAGCUGUUAAGCCUGCCGCUUGGGAGUACGAUCGCAAGAU